UACGGAGGAUCCAAGCGUUAUCCGGAUUUAUUGGGUUUAAAGGGUGCGUAGGUGGCCUGUUAAGUCAGGGGUGAAAGACGGUAGCUCAACUAUCGCAGUGCCUUUGAUACUGACGGGCUUGAAUACACUAGAGGUAGGCGGAAUGUGACAAGUAGCGGUGAAAUGCAUAGAUAUGUCACAGAACACCAAUUGCGGAGGCAGCUACUAUGGUGUCAUUGACACUGAGGCACGAAAGCGUGGGGAUCAAACAGG
rnacentral:rRNA from 1 species